rnacentral:rRNA from 1 species
UACAGAGGGUGCGAGCGUUGUUCGGAAUUAUUGGGCGUAAAGGGCGCGUAGGCGGCGCCACAAGUCACCUGUGAAAACUCUGGGCUCAACCCAGAGCCUGCAGGCGAAACUGUGGUGCUGGAGUAUGGGAGAGGUGCGUGGAAUUCCCGGUGUAGAGGUGAAAUUCGUAGAUAUCGGGAGGAACACCAGUGGCGAAGGCGGCGACCUGGGCCAAUAUUGACGCUGAGGUGCGAAAGCGUGGGGAGCAAACAGG